CAUAAAAAUUUCUAGAAACUAUAUUUUAACAUUAGACUUAUGUGUUUAGAGUACAGAAGUAACCUGAUGAAAAUUAUGGUAGUGAUCUCAAGAUUUUAAUGAGCAUCAAGAAUUAAAAAAGUCUUGUCUGAAACCUGUCUCUGUGUUAAACAAAAGUAAAACAAGAUUGGAAAAAGUGAUCAUAAUUACCUCUGUGAUUAAGGGAGUAGCAGCAAAAAAGGAAGGAGCAAAAAAAUUAAAUUGGACAGGGCAAGGUGAUUUUCAAAAAAAGUCUUUCCAAAUUCUUAAAUUUCGUCAAGUUAUUGAAAGAGCAAUGCAAAUAAAUUUGCUGACAAAAGAUACCGCACAGCGAAAUUUAAAAGGCAGAUGUGGCUUUUAUUAUUGAAUCUCUAGACAGAAAUAGAGGCAUAAAAGAAAGAGCAGAAAAAAAGUCCAUCUAAAAAACCUGUUCAACAAAAAAUCUUGGCUAUACUGCCCAAUCAUUGACAUUGAAACCUUUAUCUGGAUUAUCAUUACCACAAUUUGAACGCUUUAUUUUUGAUGAAUCUGACAAAGUAUAAUGUUCUCAAAGUCUUGCAUGAU
rnacentral:lncRNA from 1 species